AGGCACAUGGCCUGUGCCUGAGGAAUUUACCAUGUAGGCCAGACACCCUGACUGAUUCAAAGGAUGUACAGACAGCAGGACAUCAAGUCGAGGCAGGCCACAGGGAGCUGACCCUGGAGUGCUGAUUUCACAGAACGUGGCUGCUAAGUCCAGAUAAUGUUUCAUCUCCUGAUAUGUGUGUGUGUAUGCGUGUGUGUGUGUGUGCACACCUGUACCGUAUUCACACUUUUUCAAGGGGAAAGAAG
rnacentral:lncRNA from 10 species